rnacentral:tRNA from 1 species
GCUGUUAUAGCUCAGCGGUAGAGCACUUCCUUGGUAAGGAAGAGGUCCGGUUCAAGUCCCGGUAACAGCU